UCGAGAAUUUUUCUCAAUGGGCGCAAGCCUGAAGGAGCGACGCCGCGUGGGGGAUGAAGGGUUUCGAUCCGUAAACCCCUGUCAUUUGUGAACAAUGGUUAUUGUUUAAGAGAUGAUAACUUGAUAGUAAUGAAAGAGGAAGGGACGGCUAACUCUGUGCCAGCAGCCGCGGUAAUACAGAGGUCCCGAGCGUUGUUCGGAUUCACUGGGCGUAAAGGGUGCGUAGGUGGCUUGGAAAGUUUGAUGUGAAAGCUCAGGGCUUAACCCUGAAAUGGCAUUGAAUACUGCCGGGCUGGAGGUUUGGAGGGGGGACUGGAAUUCUUGGUGUAGCAGUGAAAUGCGUAGAUAUCAAGAGGAACACCAGUGGCGAAGGCGAGUCCCUGGACAACACCUGACACUGAGGCACGAAAGCUAGGGGAGCAAACAGGAUUAGAUACCCCCGUAGUCC
rnacentral:rRNA from 1 species